rnacentral:rRNA from 1 species
UACGAAGGGGGCUAGCGUUGUUCGGAAUUACUGGGCGUAAAGCGCACGUAGGCGGAUAUUUAAGUCAGGGGUGAAAUCCCGGGGCUCAACCUCGGAACUGCCUUUGAUACUGCGAAUCUUGAGUCCGAUAGAGGUGGGUGGAAUUCCUAGUGUAGAGGUGAAAUUCGUAGAUAUUAGGAAGAACACCAGUGGCGAAGGCGGCCCACUGGAUCGGUACUGACACUGAGGUGCGAAAGCGUGGGGAGCAAACAGG